rnacentral:rRNA from 1 species
GGAGUAUUCGGGUUCCGGGGGGAGUAUGGUCGCAAGGCCGAAACUUAAAGGAAUUGACGGAAGGGCACCACCAGGAGUGGAAUCUGCGGCUUAAUUUGACCCAACGCGGGGAAAACUCACCAGGUCAGGACACGGUAAGGAUUGACGGACUGAAGGCUCUUUCUCGAUUCCGUGGAAAGUGGUGCAUGGCCGUUUUUGGUUGGUGGAUCGAUCCGUCUGGUUAAUUCCGUUAACGAACGAGACCUCGGCACUCCGAAUAGCGCGGCGGACGUCGCGGCCUCCGGGCCGUCUUCCGCACGAGCUUCUUAGAGGGACCGUCCCCCGCCGGGGAAGGAGGUGCGAGGCAACGACAGGUCUGUGAUGCCCUUAGAUGUUCUGGGCCGCACGCGCAUUACACUGACGCGUCCAACGGGUGACUCCCGACCCGAAGGGGCCGGGGAAUCCGCAAGGCGCGUCGUGAUGGGGAUUGAACGUUGCAAUUGUUGUUCACGAACGAGGAAUUCCUAGUAGGCGCGGGUCAUCAACCCGCGCCGAUUACGUCCCUGCCCUUUGUACAC